GGGCUAUCAGCUUGUUGGUGGGGUAACGGCCUACCAAGGCGACGACGGCUAGCUGGUCUGAGAGGGCGACCAGCCACACUGGGACUGAGACACGGCCCAGACUCCUACGGGAGGCAGCAGUGGGGAAUCUUGCGCAAUGGGCGAAAGCCUGACGCAGCAACGCCGCGUGGGGGAUGAAGGCCUUCGGGUUGUAAACCCCUUUCAGCAGGGACGAAUCUGACGGUACCUGCAGAAGAAGCCCCGGCCAACUACGUGCCAGCAGCCGCGGUAAUACGUAGGGGGCGAGCGUUGUCCGGAUUCAUUGGGCGUAAAGAGCUCGUAGGCGGCUUGGCAAGUCAGGUGUGAAAUCUCUGGGCUCAACUCAGAGAGGCCACCUGAUACUGCUAUGGCUAGAGUCCGGUAGGGGACCAUGGAAUUCCUGGUGUAGCGGUGAAAUGCGCAGAUAUCAGGAGGAACACCAGUGGCGAAGGCGGUGGUCUGG
rnacentral:rRNA from 1 species